rnacentral:piRNA from 1 species
UGGGCAAGGUCAGCCAACAUCAAGUGAGCC